rnacentral:rRNA from 1 species
GGGCUCGCAGGCGGUUUUUUAAGUCUGAGGUGAAAGCCCCCGGCUUAACCGGGGAGGGUCAUUGGAAACUGGGGAACUUGAGUGCAGAAGAGGAGAGUGGAAUUCCACGUGUAGCGGUGAAAUGCGUAGAGAUGUGGAGGAACACCAGUGGCGAAGGCGACUCUCUGGUCUGUAACUGACGCUGAGGAGCGAAAGCGUGGGGAGCGAACAGGAUUAGAUACCCUGGUAGUCCACGCCGUAAACGAUGAGUGCUAAGUGUUAGGGGGUUUCCGCCCCUUAGUGCUGCAGCUAACGCAUUAAGCACUCCGCCUGGGGAGUACGGUCGCAAGACUGAAACUCAAAGGAAUUGACGGGGGCCCGCACAAGCGGUGGAGCAUGUGGUUUAAUUCGAAGCAACGCGAAGAACCUUACCAGGUCUUGACAUCCUCUGACGAUCCUAGAGAUAGGACGUCCCCUUCGGGGGCAGAGUGACAGGUGGUGCAUGGUUGUCGUCAGCUCGUGUCGUGAGAUGUUGGGUUAAGUCCCGCAACGAGCGCAACCCUUGAUCUUAGUUGCCAGCAUUCAGUUGGGCACUCUAAGGUGACUGCCGGUGACAAACCGGAGGAAGGUGGGGAUGACGUCAAAUCAUCAUGCCCCUUAUGACCUGGGCUACACACGUGCUACAAUGGACAGAACAAAGGGCAGCGAAACCGCGAGGUUAAGCCAAUCCCACAAAUCUGUUCUCAGUUCGGAUCGCAGUCUGCAACUCGACUGCGUGA